GAUGAACGCUGGCGGCGUGCCUAAUACAUGCAAGUAGAACGCUGAAGGAAGGAGCUUGCUCUUUCCGGAUGAGUUGCGAACGGGUGAGUAACGCGUAGGUAACCUGCCUGGUAGCGGGGGAUAACUAUUGGAAACGAUAGCUAAUACCGCAUAACAGUAGAUGUUGCAUGAUAUCUACUUAAAAGGUGCAAUUGCACCACUACCAGAUGGACCUGCGUUGUAUUAGCUAGUUGGUGAGGUAACGGCUCACCAAGGCGACGAUACAUAGCCGACCUGAGAGGGUGGUCGGCCACACUGGGACUGAGACACGGCCCAGACUCCUACGGGAGGCAGCAGUAGGGAAUCUUCGGCAAUGGACGGAAGUCUGACCGAGCAACGCCGCGUGAGUGAAGAAGGUUUUCGGAUCGUAAAGCUCUGUUGUAAGAGAAGAACGAGUGUGAGAGUGGAAAGUUCACACUGUGACGGUAUCUUACCAGAAAGGGACGGCUAACUACGUG
rnacentral:rRNA from 1 species